CGGGGUAUAGCGCAGUCUGGUAGCGCGCCUGCUUUGGGAGCAGGGUGUCGGGGGUUCGAAUCCCUCUACCCCAACAA
rnacentral:tRNA from 1 species